rnacentral:lncRNA from 1 species
AAGUGCACUGCUCAUGUCCUCCUACCUGCUACUCUGCAGACAGGACUUCACCAUGCUGAGCAGCUCCUGAGCACAGCAAAUCUUUCUCACCCCCUUCAACUGUGUUAGCUGCUUCUUCAUCCCAGAGAUGCAUCUGGAGAAGUUCAUGGAUGACCGCUUAGAGCCUUUAGAUGUGUAUCAGGAUGCUGCGUUGGUGGACGCUACACAGACAGCUACUGAGGAGACCAUCCCACUCAAGCUCUCAAACUGGAUACCAGAUAAAGGGCUGAAGUGGAAUAGCUCAGACAGGUUUGCCUGAGCUUUUGGACCACUUGCAAGUAUUCAGCUUCUCCUGCUCCAUUUGCAAGUUUCUGUAUUUGAGCCUGUGAGUACUUUUUCAUCUGUGGAGAUCAAUGUUGUGUGUUUUCUUUUAAAAAUCUCAAAAUUUCAGCUGCAUUCACAAAAUCAGCUGAUUUAUAAGAUCCAGAUUAACAAUGCAUGUAAACACAAGACUAAAUUUAAGUGUAUGCUUAAGAUGUUUGGAUCUCAAACACAUGUUUAAAUGCUUUGCCAGGUAAAAAUAGAUUCAUGAUUUAACACUAGGCCUUGACUUUCCAUUGUGCUAUUUUAAUUUUAUGCUGAUUUAACUUCAGCUAACUCAGCCAGGAUACAGGACUUGGUUUGGAGAAGACAGCUUUGGUCUGAAAACAAGUUAUUCCAAACCCUAGAGCUGGAAGAAGUUCUCUAGGACUGAAUAUUUACAAGAAAGGGUGUGAUGGCAGAAGUGUUAGGCUGCUUCUUCUGGUUUCAUGGUGUGAGUUUGAGUUUCAUGCUGAAAUUGCACAACACCCAAAUACAAGUGGGUGUCUGGCCACACUGACAAUGUUAAAAGCAUCCAGAUGUGAAUGUUUUUGGCUAUGGAAACUUUUGUGCUUUAACUGUGCUAGCCCAGUUUUCUUGGGAGAAUAUUUGGACUUUUUCCUCUGGUGAGGUUUUUUUCAGCAUCAUUUAAAACGUUGAGAGAUGUAGUGAUUUGCCUAUAAUCAAAUAUAUAGACCUGACCCUUGAAAGCCAUUUCACAAGCCAUUUCACCUAGAUUUCCCUAACAUACAAGCAGGUAUUAGGGGAGGGAAAGAAACAAUACAGCUCCUGUUUUCAACUGAGCUGAAAACCAAGGAACCUCAGAAGUGUUUGAGAGAGAAAUAGCAGAUUUUUGUAAAUGUUAUGCUAGAAAGAUGAGAUGCUGCACCCCAGGUUUGAUACCAGUCCAGAGGCGUAUGAGGCAGGAGACUGGAUUCAUUGAUUUCUAGUGUUUGGAU